rnacentral:rRNA from 1 species
GGGUCCGCACAAGCGGUGGAGCAUGUGGUUUAAUUCGAUGAUACGCGAGGAACCUUACCAGGCUUAAUGUAGUAUGACCGGUCUGGAAACAGACCUUCUCUUCGGAGCAGAUUACAAGGUGCUGCAUGGUUGUCGUCAGCUCGUGCCGUGAGUGUUAGGUUAAGUCCUGCAACGAGCGCAACCCCUAUUCUUAGUUGCCAGCGGUUCGGCCGGGGACUCUAAGAAGACUGCCAGCGCAAGCUGAGAGGAAGGUGGGGGAUGACGUCAAAUCAUCACGGCCCUUACGUCCUGGGCUACACACGUGCUACAAUGGUAUAGACAGAGGGAGCCACCUGGCGACAGGGAG